rnacentral:rRNA from 1 species
AAGGUAUUGAAUAAGAUUUUAAUUGAAUGCUAAGAGAAUGGAUAAACAGGGAAAUUCUUUUUUAAUUUCAAAAAUUAAAGUUAUUUUUGUAAGUGAAGAAACUACAAUAAAAAUUAAGGACAAGAAGACCCUAAGAAUUUUGUAUAACUUUUUUAUAAAAUUUAUAAAUUUUUAUUUUAAUUGGGGCGAUUGAUAAAAAUAUAAAACUUUAUAUCCAAAAAAAAA